rnacentral:sRNA from 1 species
ACCAUCUAGGGUUCCAAGGGCCAGCCUCCAUCGCCGCCGCCGCCUCGCGUGCUUCCGUUUAUCUCUGUUCCGCUCAUGCUCUUGUUGGUUUUUCAUGUUCAUAAGUUCAUGUGUGUUUUUUUUCUUUUUGGUUGAAUCGUCCUCUCUUGUUCUUGUUAAGGUGGGGGCACCAAUAUAUCACCAUGGUGCCAGCCAUCUCUGCGAGAAGGGGAUAGAUCGACGCGUCAAGAAAUCGUUUCUGUUGCCAUGGCUCCAGUAGGCAAUACGAUUGUUGCUUGCGCACAGUUCAAUCUCUUGUGCAGAUCAGUUUCUUCUUCUUUGUUUUUGGGUGAUCUGUUGUUUAUCUGUUCGAGUUGUGUUCUUGCACGGUGCUAACCCCGGGCUUGUCGGAUUCAAAUCGCCUGAAGAAGGAAGCCCCAAUGCCUGUGCUAGAUCCACCAUACCAUUCAGUGUUGCAGGUCUUGAUGCUUCGAGCAUGUGAUUGAUCUGUGUCAGCGUAAUGGAUACAUUUCAAAAAUCAAAUGUUUUUUUUUGUGUUUCCUAAUUCUCUUUUUCCUUGGGAGAUUUGAUAGCUGAUGGCAGUGAUUUGACAUUUACCCGCGCUUCUGAUUUAAACCGUGAAGUUAAGGGAAAAAAAUAAUGGUUGAAUUUCUUAAUAUGAGCCUUCCAUUCUGCUAUCGUAUUUCCUCUAAAAAUUUGGUAUUUCUGUUUGUUAGAUUUACGUUUAGAUUUGGUAGAUUUGUCUCUUCGGCAGUGAUGAUACAAACUUUCAGCUUUAAACGCCAGUUCUGCUUCUGAUAAUUCAUGACAGAUAAAGCUGAUUCAGAUCUGAGCCAAUUGCUGUUCUACUUUUUUUCCCAUAGGAAUAACCCUUUGCGUUAGCAUCAUUUGUAUCUCUUCUAUUAGCAUAUUAUAUCAUUUGUUUGAACUAAUAGCAUCAUCUAAUAAUUUUACCUAUGAUGAGCUGCCCAUUGUUUAGAGGAUGUAGUUGGCUCGAGUUCCUGUUUAUCAGGAAGAACCUACUUGUAGCUGCUGCAUUCACAUGUUAUCAACGGGCUACCUGAGGUCAUUAGAUUAGAUGACCUUCAUGUUGUACCUUUGUAUUUUCAGGGAUUUUUCUUCGUCCAUUGAGUAAUUUGCAUAAUUUUUUGCCGAGUUUAACUAUCCUUCCGCAUGUUAAGUUUCUGAUUUGCCGGGAGGCUGAAAAAGCUCGGAGAUUGUGUGUUGACAUCAGCUUCGUCUCUAUUAACCGUGGGAUGGGAGUUAAAUGACAGCACGAAAUUCGUUCCAUUCUUCUAGCAUAUACUCACCGUCCAUUUUGAUUUUGAGAUUUUGUUGAUGAUAGGUGAUUCAGCUCUUUGUAGUUGUCGUGUAUAACUGACGCAACGAAAUUCAUGGAAAUGCAUUGAAUAUUCAAUCACUGAUUCGAGGCUAACGUUUUAAUAAUCCCAGUAAUUACUGAGGCAAACGGUUUUAAUAAUUCCAAUUACUGGCAACUCAAUGUUGAAUGUCUAAUUCUUUGAACAGCUGAACACCAUGUUGCCAGUUGCACUCCCAGCUAGUUGGAAACUUGCAUUGCCACAGCUAUUCAGGACUGUUUUCAGAUGUUACAAUUGUUCAUAUGAACGAAUUAAGGACCGGUUCUUUUGAUUGACAGUGAUGUUUUAUUUCUGCAUCACAAAGGAACUUCAGCCUCAGAGACUCUGCUGAUGAUCAGAAUUCAGAGAGGAACUCAAGCAUCAUCAGAAAGUUUUGCUGUAUCGGACUGCUGGAGAACGGAACGGAGGAGACAUGGAAGGAGAGAUCACAACAACAAAUGAUAAUCGUUGACAUGUCUUGAAACUUCGCAUUGAGUUGUUUUGAUCUGAGAAAUGACCCAUGAAAAGAAAAGGAAAACAGCUAACAAGGAUCUGAACUGG